CCUUGUCUUUAGUUUCUGCGUUGCAGUAGCGGCUUGUGUGGUUUAUUGUUUCCGUGUAAUUUUCAGGUCCCCAGUAUGCUCCUCUCCUUUUUCCCCCAUCCCCCGCUUUCUUGCUAUCGUGGACUCUGGCGGUGUAAAAGCGUUUUUCUACUCGGCCCUGUGAUAAACCAUUUUUUUCGUGGGAUUUGUUUUCAGUGUGUUUCUCACGCACGAUUAGAGCGGUGGUGCUGGCUACCAUGUAAUCAAACGUUUUCCGGUUCCGAUCCGAUAUUAACAGAAAUAGAACACUUUCUGCUUGAAGGAAACUGACAGCGCCCCGCGAUCUCAAAAAAAGGAACAUCUCACGGCAUCUCGAAGUCUGUCUGAGCAUGUUCCGACCUUCCAGAGCAGCGGAAGAGAGCAACUGGGAAAAGAGGGGAAAAAAAGUUUUGUGUUCUCGGGGGGGGCGGAAGAAAAAACUAGGAUCGUUCACAGCGCAGGUGGACUGGGGAGAAGCCCUGAACACAUUUCCUUAUCGUUCGUUUGGAAUGGAUUUCGUGUCUUUUCACCAGGUAGAAACCUAAAAGAGACGGCCGCGGACACGCGAGUCGGGCGCCUCCUGCCAUCGCAGGUUCGGGGCGGGGUAACGAGAGUGCUCGGCGGGAGGCCGCUCCUGGGUCCUAGGGGCUGUGCGCGGCCUGGCUCAGCGGCGGGAGCAGCAGAGUAGGCGGUAGAGGGUUCCAUGGUGUAAUGGUGAGCACUCUGGACUCUGAAUCCAGCGAUCCGAGUUCAAAUCUCGGUGGGACCUUUCUCUUUAACUAGAAGAAGGAGAUUUUUUUUUACUCCUCAGAUGGGAUAUGCUUUCCCACUCCCGCGUCCCGGAGCGGGGCGGUCCGUGCGCUCCAUACGGACGGGGUGGACAGGUGCGGAGACGAGCCCGCGGCAUCUCCGCUGGGCCCCGGCGACUCUGCCCGUGGCUGGCCAUCGGAGGCCCCGGGCCAGGCGCGCAGCGACCGAGCCGGUGGCACCCCAUCGUUGGGUCACCCUGGGUCGCGGGGGCAAAAAACAGAGGCUGCGCCCACUGCGUCUUGCCCCGCGAGGGGGCUUCGCACCGCACGUCUUGUAACUAACUGCGCGCGUGUCCCUAAUUUCUCACUCCGAAGUCUAAAUUGGACAAGGAAAGCCGCUGUUAGGCUAAGAUUUGAACCUUGACUCCAGGAGAUCUCGUCGUUUCAUUCCAAGGUCGGCCAGAAGAAGGAGGAAGACCAAGGAUUCCGGUGUCCGAGGAGAGCAGGGAUCCCUGACCCACCUCCACCCAGGCCUUUGGGACACUUGCAGAUCUUAAGUCAAGGCUAGACUAUAGUGAAUAUGCCUUGUUUGGUUUGAUUUGAGUUGGAAACCACAUUCAUUUUUUAUCAUUAUCAAAUUAAAUUAAUCUUUUAAAUGUCACUUCUAGACAUUGAAAACACAAUGUGACAAAUGAACCUGUGUAUGCCUUUUGUGGAACAAGCAUAUGGAUAAGAACUCUCCGAAAAGACCAUAAAACACAAUAAUUUAUAUAUACCCCAGGACUGUGACAAAAUUUUUAAAACUGCUUUUCUCAGUUGUGUUAUUAUUGGCAUUGUUGGUAGUUCUUUAUUCUUUUGUCUGUAUAAUGCGGGAAAAAACAAAGGAGACUGUAAAAGAUAUUGUAUUUCUAUUACGCUCAGUGUCCUUAAAAACAAAAAUACUGGUAUUAGAGAAAAGAGAUGCAGAUGUACGAUAGACAUUCAAUAAAAAGCCUGUAGUUCUGAA